rnacentral:rRNA from 1 species
UGGGGAAUUGUGGACAAUGGGCGCAAGCCUGAUCCAGCCAUGCCGCGUGUCUGAAGAAGGCCUUCGGGGUGUAAAGGACUUUUGUCAGGGAAGAAAAGGGCGGGGUUAAUACCCCUGUCUGAUGACGGUACCUGAAGAAUAAGCACCGGCUAACUACGUGCCAGCAGCCGCGGUAAUACGUAGGGUGCGAGAGUUAAUCGGAAUUACUGGGCGUAAAGCGGGCGCAGACGGUUACUUAAGCAGGAUGUGAAAUCCCCGGGCUCAACCUGGGAACUGCGUUCUGAACUGGGUGACUAGAGUGUGUCAGAGGGAGGUAGAAUUCCACGUGUAGCAGUGAAAUGCGUAGAGAUGUGGAGGAAUACCGAUGGCGAAGGCAGCCUCCUGGGAUAACACUGACGUUCAUGCCCGAAAGCGUGGGUAGCAAACA